GAUGAACGCUGGCGGCGUGCCUAAUACAUGCAAGUCGAGCGAACGGACGAGAAGCUUGCUUUUCUGAUGUUAGCGGCGGACGGGUGAGUAACACGUGGAUAACCUACCUAUAAGACUGGGAUAACUUCGGGAAACCGGAGCCAAUACCGGAUAAUAUUUUGAACCGCAUGGUUCAAAAGUGAAAGACGGUCUUGCUGUCACUUAUAGAUGGAUCCGCGCUGCAUUAGCUAGUUGGUAAGGUAACGGCUUACCAAGGCAACGAUGCAUAGCCGACCUGAGAGGGUGAUCGGCCACACUGGAACUGAGACACGGUCCAGACUCCUACGGGAGGCAGCAGUAGGGAAUCUUCCACAAUGGGCGAAAGCCUGACGGAGCAACGCCGCGUGAGUGAUGAAGGUCUUCGGAUCGUAAAACUCUGUUAUUAGGGAAGAACAUAUGUGUAAGUAACUGUGCACAUCUUGACGGUACCUAAUCAGAAAGCCACGGCUAACUACGUG
rnacentral:rRNA from 1 species